rnacentral:rRNA from 1 species
UAAUACGAAGGGGGCUAGCGUUGCUCGGAAUUACUGGGCGUAAAGGGAGCGUAGGCGGACAUUUAAGUCAGGGGUGAAAUCCCGGGGCUCAACCUCGGAAUUGCCUUUGAUACUGGGUGUCUUGAGUGUGAGAGAGGUAUGUGGAACUCCGAGUGUAGAGGUGAAAUUCGUAGAUAUUCGGAAGAACACCAGUGGCGAAGGCGACAUACUGGCUCAUUACUGACGCUGAGGCUCGAAAGCGUGGGGAGCAAACAGG